CUGCGGCCACAUCACGUUGAAACACCAAUUCCCGUACGAUCAUGGAAGUUAAGCAACGUCGAGCCUGGUCAGUACAUAGAUGGGUAAUCGCUUGGGAAGACCAGGUGCUGUAAG
rnacentral:rRNA from 1 species